UAGUCAUAUGCUUGUCUCAAAGAUUAAGCCAUGCAUGUCUAAGUAUAAACGCCUUUAUACUGUGAAACUGCGAAUGGCUCAUUAAAUCAGUUAUAGUUUAUUUGAUAGUACCUCUUUACUACAUGGAUAACCGUGGUAAUUCUAGAGCUAAUACAUGCGAAAAAUCCCGACUUUUGUGGAAGGGAUGUAUUUAUUAGAUAAAAAACCAACUUUCUUUCUCGCAAGAGGAAGAAAACCCCUUUGCUUGGUGAUUCAUAAUAACUUGUCGAAUCGUAUGG
rnacentral:rRNA from 1 species